rnacentral:rRNA from 1 species
AACGAACGCUGGCGGCAUGCCUAACACAUGCAAGUCGAACGAGACCUUCGGGUCUAGUGGCGCACGGGUGCGUAACGCGUGGGAAUCUGCCCUUGGGUUCGGAAUAACAGUGAGAAAUUACUGCUAAUACCGGAUGAUGUCUUCGGACCAAAGAUUUAUCGCCCAGGGAUGAGCCCGCGUAGGAUUAGCUAGUUUGUGGGGUAAUGGCCUACCAAGGCGACGAUCCUUAGCUGGUCUGAGAGGAUGAUCAGCCACACUGGGACUGAGGCACGGCCCAGACUCCUACGGGAGGCAGCAGUGGGGAAUAUUGGACAAUGGGCGCAAGCCUGAUCCAGCAAUGCCGCGUGAGUGAUGAAGGCCUUAGGGUUGUAAAGCUCUUUUACCCGGGAUGAUAAUGACAGUACCGGGAGAAUAAGCUCCGGCUAACUCCGUG